rnacentral:rRNA from 1 species
UAAGCGAAUAGUGAAAUGACGCGGCUCAACCGUGUGUCCAUUAUUUGAACUGGCAAGCUAGAGAAUGUGAGAGGUACCUGGAAUUCCCUGUGUAGGAGUGAAAUCCGUAGAUAUAGGGAGGAACACCGAUGGCGUAGGCAGGGUACUGGCACAUUUCUGACACUAAGGCACGAAAGCGUGGGAGCAAACGGGAUUAGAUACCCCGGUAGUCCACGCCGUAAACUAUGGAUGCUA